AUUGAACGCUGGCGGCAGGCCUAACACAUGCAAGUCGAGCGGAUGAAGGGAGCUUGCUCCUGGAUUCAGCGGCGGACGGGUGAGUAAUGCCUAGGAAUCUGCCUGGUAGUGGGGGAUAACGUCCGGAAACGGGCGCUAAUACCGCAUACGUCCUGAGGUAGAAAGUGGGGGAUCUUCGGACCUCACGCUAUCAGAUGAGCCUAGGUCGGAUUAGCUAGUUGGUGGGGUAAAGGCCUACCAAGGCGACGAUCCGUAACUGGUCUGAGAGGAUGAUCCGUCACACUGGAACUGAGACACGGUCCAGACUCCUACGGGAGGCAGCAGUGGGGAAUAUUGGACAAUGGGCGAAAGCCUGACCCAGCCGUGCCGCGUGUGUGAAGAAGGUCUUCGGAUUGUAAAGCACGUUAAGUUGGGAGGAAGGGCAGUAAGUUAAAACCUUGCUGUUUUGACGGUACCAACAGAAUAAGCACCGGCUAACUUCGUG
rnacentral:rRNA from 1 species